rnacentral:rRNA from 1 species
AACGAACGCUGGCGGCAGGCUUAACACAUGCAAGUCGAACGCUCCGCAAGGGGCGUGGCGCACGGGUGAGUAACACGUGGGAACAUGCACUUGGGUACGGAAUAACGGCGGGAAACUGCCGAUAAUAUCGUAUGAUGUCUUCGGACCAAAUGUUUAUCGUCCAAGGAUUGGCCCGCGGCUGAUUAGCUAGUUGGUGGGGUAAUGGCCUAUCACGGCUACGAUGAGUAGCUGGUCUGAGAGGACGACCAGCCACACUGGGACUGAGACACGGCCCAGACUCCUACGGGGGGCAGCAGUGGGAAAUAUUGGGCAAUGGGGGAAACCCUGAUCUAGCCAUGCCGCGUGAGUGCUAAGGCCUUCGGGUUGUAAAACUCUUUCGCGAGGGAAGAUAAUGACGGUACCUCGAGAAGAAGCUCCGGCUAACUUCGUGCCAGCCGCCGCAGUAA